rnacentral:rRNA from 1 species
ACGUAAACAACCUGCCUUCAGGAUGGGGACAACAGACGGAAACGACUGCUAAUACCGAAUAAGUUCCAAGAGCCGCAUGGCCCAUGGAAGAAAAGGUGGCCUCUACCUGUAAGCUAUCGCCUGAAGAGGGGUUUGCGUCUGAUUAGCUGGUUGGAGGGGUAACGGCCCACCAAGGCGACGAUGCGUAGCCGACCUGAGAGGGUGAUCGGCCACAUUGGGACUGAGACACGGCCCAGACUCCUACGGGAGGCAGCAUG